rnacentral:lncRNA from 1 species
UAAAGUAGAAUUCUGAACAGAUUUCUCCCCAACUCUUUCCCUGUGUCUCUCCCCAGUGUAGGCUGAACUGGGCCACAGCAUCCGAGCUGGGAGAACUGGGGGAAGAGACGGGAGAGGGCAGCUCCGCUGACUGGAGGAGUACCAGCUGGUCUCAAACAGUCAGAUCUUUGAAAAAGAAGAAGAAAGAGAUAAAAAGGUUGAAUGGUGUGGUCCACGGUCACUCUCUUUUCAUUGUUCCUGGG